ensembl:lncRNA MIR7515HG MIR7515 host gene
AGGGGUGGUGACUUGAGCAAGGUGCAUCAGCUGCCAGGUUUCCAGAAGUUCCCCAGUCAUUGAGCAUUUCUGAGGCUCUUGAUGCAUAUGCCAAGUAGUUAUGGAGAAAGACACAGCAGCUUACCUCUGCAGGCAUCAUUGUGUGAAAGGAAGACCCAGGCUCUCUCACCACCCUUGAACAGAAGCCUUUUGCUAAGGUGAUAGCUACAUGUCCAAGCCUAUUGCGUGGCAUGCAUUUUGCCUUCUGCAGCCCACUAAAGGAAAUUGAAGUAUACAGAAUGCUUAUUUGGUCUACUCAGUAUCAUCCUAAAUGUAUGUACCAAUGCUUAGGAGUUUGCAGUUCACCCGCAAACCUCAGCGAUCCAAGCUCCCCUGGAUGACCAUCACUCACCAAGAAAAGAGCAAUAACAGGACCUGUUUUGCUAAUCCAGGACUGUUCUCCAGCACUAACUCUAAAUAAUCCCUUCUGCUAGAGUCCACUUUCUGGAACCUGUUGCCUCCGUUUUCAACGUUUCCCAAACUUGGUCCGUUGUGUGAGCUGGCUGAUAAAAGUUCCAGCCAAACCCAGAGUAAGGAAACCAUCUGGCAAGAACCGCUCAAGAGAAUGCUUCUUGG